GAUGAAGAACGUAGCGAAAUGCGAUAAGUAAUGUGAAUUGCAGAAUUCAGUGAAUCAUCGAAUCUUUGAACGCACCUUGCGCCCUUUGGCUAUUCCAGAGGGCAUGCCUGUUUGAGUAUCAUGAACACCUCAACUCUCAUGGUUCUGCCAUGAUGAGCUUGGACUUUGGAGGUCUUGCUGGCCCCUGUGGUCAGCUCCUCUCAAAUGGAUCAGCUUGCCAGUGUUUGGUGGCAUCACAGGUGUGAUAACUAUCUACGCUUGUGGUUUUCCACCAGGUAACCUUCAGUGAUGGAGGUUCGCUGGAGCUCAUAAACGUCUCUCCUCAGCGAGGACAGCUUCUUGAACGUUUGAUCUCAAAUCAGGUAGGGCUACCCGCUGAACUUAAGCAUAUCAAUAAGCGGAGA
rnacentral:misc_RNA from 1 species